rnacentral:rRNA from 1 species
GACGAACGCUGGCGGCGUGCUUAACACAUGCAAGUCGAGCGAGGCCCUUCCUUCGGGAAGGUGUCCUAGCGGCGAACGGGUGAGUAACACGUGGGCAACCUGCCCUCAGCUCUGGGAUAACCCCGGGAAACCGGGGCUAAUACCGGAUACGACCAUGAGCGACAUCUCUUAUGGUGGAAAGAAUUUCGGCUGAGGAUGGGCCCGCGGCCUAUCAGCUUGUUGGUGGGGUAAUGGCCUACCAAGGCGACGACGGGUAGCCGGCCUGAGAGGGCGACCGGCCACACUGGGACUGAGACACGGCCCAGACUCCUACGGGAGGCAGCAGUGGGGAAUAUUGCGCAAUGGGCGAAAGCCUGACGCAGCGACGCCGCGUGAGGGACGAAGGCCUUCGGGUUGUAAACCUCUUUCAGCUCCGACGAAGCGAAAGUGACGGUAGGAGCAGAAGAAGCGCCGGCCAACUACGUGCCAGCAGCCGCCGUAACAC